rnacentral:rRNA from 1 species
GGCUUAGAGUUUGAUCAUGGCUCAGGAUGAACGCUAGCGACAGGCCUAACACAUGCAAGUCGAGGGGCAGCGGAGAGGUAGCAAUACCUUUGCCGGCGACCGGCGCACGGGUGAGUAACACGUAUGCAAUCCACCUGUAACAGGGGGAUAACCCGGAGAAAUCCGGACUAAUACCCCAUAAUAUGGGCUCUCCGCAUGGAGGGUCCAUUAAAGAGAGCAAUUUUGGUUACAGACGAGCAUGCGCUCCAUUAGCCAGUUGGCGGGGUAACGGCCCACCAAAGCGACGAUGGAUAGGGGUUCUGAGAGGAAGGUCCCCCACAUUGGAACUGAGACACGGUCCAAACUCCUACGGGAGGCAGCAGUGAGGAAUAUUGGUCAAUGGUCGGCAGACUGAACCAGCCAAGUCGCGUGAGGGAAGACGGCCCUACGGGUUGUAAACCUCUUUUGUCGGAGAGUAAAGUACGCUACGUGUAGCGUAUUGCAAGUAUCCGAAGAAAAAGCAUCGGCUAACUCCGUGCCAGCAGCCGCGGUAAUACGGAGGAUGCGAGCGUUAUCCGGAUUUAUUGGGUUUAAAGGGUGCGUAGGCGGCACGCCAAGUCAGCGGUGAAAUUUUCGGGCUCAACCCGGACUGUGCCGUUGAAACUGGCGAGCUAGAGUGCACAAGAGGCAGGCGGAAUGCGUGGUGUAGCGGUGAAAUGCAUAGAUAUCACGCAGAACCCCGAUUGCGAAGGCAGCCUGCUAGGGUGCGACAGACGCUGAGGCACGAAAGCGUGGGUAUCGAACAGGAUUAGAUACUCCUGGUAGUCCACGCAGUAAACGAUGAUACUAACUGUUUGCGAUACAAUGUAAGCGGUACAGCGAAAGCGUUA